AGAACGAACGCUGGCGGCAGGCCUCAAACAUGCAAGUCUAGGGGGCGUAGCAAUACGUCACCGGCGGACGGGUGCGUAACACGUGGGAAUGUACUUAUUGGUUCGGAACAACUCAGGGAAACUUGAGCUAAUACCGAAUGUGCCCGUAAGGGGAAAGAUUUAUCGCCAAUAAAUCAGCCCGCGUCCGAUUAGCUAGUUGGUGGGGUAAAGGCUCACCAAGGCGACGAUCGGUAGCUGUUCUGAGAGGAAGAUCAGCCACACUGGGACUGAGACACGGCCCAGACUCCUACGGGAGGCAGCAGUUGGGAAUCUUGGACAAUGGGGGAAACCCUGAUCCAGCCAUGCCGCGUGAGUGAUGAAGGCCUUAGGGUUGUAAACUCUUUCGGCGGGGACGAUAAUGACGGUACCCGCAGAAGAAGCUCCGGCUAACUUCGUGCCAGCAGCCGC
rnacentral:rRNA from 1 species